CCUGUGAGAAGAUUUCCCGUGUUUGCAGCUAGCUCACACAGCAAGGUCUUUCCAGAAAAGAUGUCCCAGAUGCCAAAGCUGACACAUCAGAAAGAUCAUCAUUUGAAGGGCUGCUUCCCACUGGGAAAAAGCAUGAUUUGGGUGAGUGGUCUUUUCCACCAGAGUCCAAAUUCUCUAGGACUUUGGCCAUCUCAGAAUAGGGUCGCCUUAUAAAUUUUUGCCAAUACGGUAAUUCUAAUAUAGUCAUUUUCAAAGUGGAGAGACUUCAAUGAAAGAAUUCUCCUGAUGGAUGCAAAUUGCUUCCCAAACAUGUGAGUCUUUUCUUCUCUUCUCCUGAGUAAAUGCCACGCAAUCCUCCAACUGUCAUUUACAGAGAACUAAUCGCUUCUUACUAGUAACUUAUUAAGUGAAUCACUAAGGAUGACUGAAUUUGGAAUUUGUGUGUGACCAGAAUAUUUUUAGUCAGUGUUCUAUCCCAGAUUCUGUCAUCCAUGCAACAAGUGGCCCCUUGCAAAGCUCUGGCUGUGCGGGCACGCUGUAGAUGGCCAGAAUGCCCGUGCUUGGGAGGAAGCAAGUUUUGUUAUCUCUUUUAUCAGUUGCUGCUACUGUGUUACCCAUGUGGUUGGUUUGAGAUGAUCUGAUCUUCUCAACAAUGUUUACAUCAGUAUUUGGUCCUGUAAUUUUCUAAUGACAGAUUGAAAGAUAUGUGAACAUCGUGGUUCAAAUAGGAAUGAUCAUUACCCCAACCGCAGAAGCAAAUGUUUACAUAAUGCCACCCCCUCCCCCCAAAAACAAGCUGCUUGUACAUUGACACUUCAUUAUUAUAAACAAGUCUCAUCUUUCUUCCAUUGGAAAGUGUAAAAGAAUAGACGGAUAACGAGGUCCCCACCUAAGCGAGUUGUAAAAAAAGUUUGGGGGUUAUUGUUUUUCUCAGGGAAGAUUUUUUAAAUGCAAUUUUAUUUUUUAAAUGUUAUAAAUUUCUAUGAUUCAAAAGUCAAAAUAAUAUUGAAAGUAUAAUUGAGAAGUUUCACUCUCUCUGCUACCCGAGUCUCCUUGGAUUUUCCACUCCACCCCACAGAAGUCACCACUUUCUUAGUUCCCUGUAUAUCUGCCUAGCUUUUUUGGGGGGCGGGGGAGGAGGAAGAUUGGCCCUGAGCUAACAUCUGUGCCAAUCUUCCUCUAUUUUUUGCAUGUGGGAUGCCACCUCAGCACGGCUUGAUGAGUGGUGUGAAAUUCGGCACCCAGGGUCUGAACAUGCGAACCCCGGGCUGCAAAAGUAGAGUGCGAACUUAACCACUAUGCCACUGGUCCAGCUCCACCUAGCACGGUUUUUAUGCAAAUAGAGGUAGUCGUGUUUUCCUCUAAAAGGGAGAGAUAAAUAUUCCACUAAUGCACAAAGCUCCCCUGAGCCCACAUUAGGAGGUAAAGUGAAUAAGGUAGAUAAGUUCAGAGGUGACCCUAGAAGACAGAAAUAAUCUCUGAAGUCUAUCUUCCUAUGACUGUCAGCAGCACCGGCCUUUUUUUACAUACCUGGCUCUUGGGAAAAUAAUGGAAUAGAGUGUUUUCUCCUGACUCCCUGGCUCUGCUUUCAUAUUCUGCAUCAUCCCUUGUCAACAAUACCAUAAAAGUCCCCGACAAAGAUCCAUCUUUUGUUCUACACCCCACACCCACCUCCAAUAAACAUAUCAGUCCCUGUGGGGACGGGUAAAUGGAUUCCAAUGUACACAGUAUUCAAGGACGAAAUGUCUGGCUCAUUCAAAUCAAGGUUUCCUCCAACUGGAAGCAGUCCUUCAAAAUGAGUCUGAUGGGGAAACUUGAUACUGGAGGAUGUCCCAAACAUGCAAUAGUCUACGGAUUUAUGGAGGGCUUAUUAUGUGCCAGGUGUUGUGGCAGAUGCCAGGUGGAAGGGCAAGUAGGACACAGGUCCCACCCUCCCGGACCUCAGAGGCUCAGGAGGAGAGUUACAGGGCAUUGUAAUAAGAGUCACGAGGAAGGGCCCUAACCAGGGUGGAGAGCUCAGGGAAGGUGUCUCAGGAGAGGCCUCAUCAAAGCUGAGACAAGAGGGGUAAGGAGGACUCAGUCAGGCAGUGAGUGGGGAUUUGAGGCAGCAUUAUGUGCAACGGCCUUGGGAUGAGCAAGCCAUGGCUCUUUCCUCCUCUCCUACGACUUCCUUUCCAAGUGGGACCUGGUGGAGAUCAUUCUGGUAAGCAGUGAUUUGAAUGCAGUGCAGGGGCAGUAGGAGUUGGAGGCGCUCAGGAGCGAGUGGAAGUGUGGAGUCCCUCACAUCACAACACAUGGACGUGUGCCUGCUCAAGGUCUGUGCAAGGUCGGGGGCGGGGGGCACCAGGGAAGAGUCGAGAAACUAAACGCCUUCUCUCCCUAGGACCCCCAAGCUUAUUCCAGGCACACUGCAUACAUUGCUUGGAAACCUCAGAAAAUAUCAUGGCAAUGGGAGCUUCGAGGGAAAGGUCUCGAAAUGUCAAUGAGUCAGAAGUGCCCAGAAAAUGGUUUUCCUUGCCUCUGGAACUAAAUGGAGUGAACACCUGAUCCAGAUUUACUUGGAUCUUUCUUCUUUAAGCAACUAAUUCUUGAUGGAAAAUAUGCUUAUACCACAUAGACUCACAGCGAAGAGAAGGAAAAGCCUCCAUUUAUCCUGUCUCUUUGAUUUCAUUUUACCCUCCUGGAGGCCAAGUCAGGCCAAGCAAGCCUCAUCCGGUUUUAGCCUUUACGACACAGAAAACAGUUUGGCCUGGCUGGCUGUAGUAUGAUCAUCACGCAGCAGAACCCUGGCGGCACAGGUUUCUGUAUUUCUGAAGGCUGUUUGUAUCGCAAAAGAGAAACUCAGAGCUGCACCAAGAUUCAACCUAUAAAACAUGCCUAGAAUAAUGAAAAGGAGGACCAACCCUGGGCAAAAUUGCUAGAUGUGUCCAGUGCACCUCUGCAUGGUUUUCUUCAAACAGUCUCCUCCAAAUUGGUUCUCCUCCCCUUCUUCAUGAUCAAUCCAUCUCCAAGCCAGCCCUCCCUCAGCAAGGCUGGACCACCUGGAGCUUCCCUGACCGUUCUCCCCUAUCAAAACUUACCUGACCAUGAGUCAGCCCUGAUGGCCUAAUGGUUAAAGUUCGACACGCUCACCGCUUCGGCAGCCCCACAGCAUCAGUUCCUAUGCUGUGGCAGUGGCUCACAUAGAAGAACUAGAAGGACUUACAACUAGGAUAUACAACUAUGUACUGGGGCUUUGGGGAGGCGAAAAGAAAGAGAGGAAGAUUGGUAACAGAUGUUAGCUCAGGGUGAAUCUUUACCAGCAAAAAAGCAAAAAAACUUAACUGACCAAUGUUCUAUUUAUCUACACCAAAUUGAUAAACACUUUCUAACCAGGAAUUGCUUCAUAUUUUAUUCAUCUUAGAUGACUAUAUAUCUAUGUAUUCUUUUUUUGAGCAAGAUUAGCCCUGAGCUAACAUCUGCCGCCAAUCCUCCUCUUUUUGCUGAGGAAGACUGGCCCUGAGCUAACAUCGUGCCCAUCUUCCUUUACUUUAUAUGUGGCACGCCUACCAUAGCAUGGCCUGACAAGCGGUGCCAUGUCUGCACCC
ensembl:lncRNA